CUUGUAUUACAUAAAAGAAAAGAAAGAAAUCAAAAAUAUCCAGUACAAAGUGGUACAAAUGCAAGUUAUAACUCAUAAAAAAAACAAGGAACAUAAACAUUUUAACUCAAAUAUGAUUUGACUUAUAUUUAAAUUCUAAACUGAAAAACAAGGAUGAUGAAUAGAAGAUCACAGUUUCGAGAGAUUCUGAGAAUCCAGAGCAACAUGCUUAUUCAGAUUUCCUGACUUCUGAGUAUCUUCGAGUUGUAAAUCUUACAAUGGACAGCCUCCAACACAGACUUUUCCGCUAACUGCAUCUCUCACAGUUUCCACAGGCCCCAAUGCCACCUUUUUCUCUGUCUAGUUCAUUUAGGCAAACAUCUAUUCAUAGAGUUGAUUUGAAAUAGUCUGUCUACAGCCUGCAGAGGCAACAAACUAUGAAAAAGGAUGAAUAAUAUUAAAUAUGAAACAUGAAUGUUAUAAUGAUGUACAAAGUGAGUUGGAACAAACAAAGGAUCCUUUGUUCCUUCGAGAAGAAGUGAGACGACAGUAAAAAUGUUUAAAGACUUGGUUUAGUUAUAUGUGUUUUUAUAUUGACAUUUAAGGCCAGCGAAGUAUUU